rnacentral:ribozyme from 1 species
AAACAAAAAAAAAAAAAAAAAAAAAAAAAAAAA